AAUGAAUGAAUGGGGUGUCUAAUGAAAGC
rnacentral:piRNA from 1 species